rnacentral:lncRNA from 1 species
GUAACUUACCAGCCUCACUACUGCCCCAUAAUGAAAUAAACAUGUUCAAAGGAGGCUGCAUGGGCUGGAGAGUGACGCAAAGUGAAUUAAGUGAAAUAAAGCAAAAAAUAUAUAAUAGAAUGCUUCAUCUAAUUAAUUCUUUUUUCUCCCUGAGGCCCUUCUUUCUCUCCAAGUGGCCUCAUAGUGGCCCCAAAAGCUGGCAUCAGAAAAAGGUCCAAUGGCAGCCACCUUAGUAUAAAAACAGUUAAGUCCAUCUAUCACCUCCACGAGGAGUUCCUGGCCUGUCAGAGUGGGAAGGGGCUGGGUAGUCACCUCAUUUAAUCCCCCCCCUUUACAAACCUCGAGGAAACCGCAAACACGAGAAAAGAAUGGGCCAGCCGGGGGUUUGUUCCCCUUGGCCUCCCCCAGAAUGCCUGCAGCUUCCCAAGGAAAGGGUGGACACUGGAUGUAGCUCUCAGAAACCAGAAUCUUGAUAAGAAAUUGAAGUUGUUCUCAUAUUCAUAUAUGAUUAUCAUAACUCCUGAUUUUUCUUUUCUUUUUUUUGAGAGAGGGUCUUGCUCUGUUGCCCAGGCUGGAGUGCAGUGACACAAUCUCAGCUCACUGCAACCUCCACCUCCUGGACUCAGCAAUGCUCCACCUUAGCCUUCCAAGUAGCUGAGACUACAGGAGUGCACCACCAUGCCCAGCUAAUUUUUGUAUUUUUGGUAGAGACAGGGUUUUGCCGUGUUGCCCAGGCUGGUCUCCAACUCCUAGGCUCAAGUGUUCCUCCCACCUCGGCCUCCCAAAGUGCUGAGAUUACAGCCGUAAGCCACCACACCUGGCCCUGUUUUGUUUUAAUUUAAGGAUAUCUAAUCAUUCCACAUCAGCAUAUGUGGAAUGCUAUAGCACAUCAGCUAUAGUUUCCUUAUUCUUUCUAAUGAUUUCAUAGCAUUUCAUUGGGCAGAUAAAUGGUGCAAGAAUGAUUUAAUUAGUUCCCUAACUUUUAGAUGGUUUUCAAUCUUUUUCUAUUGCAAACAGAGCUAUAAGGGAUUGCAGCUUUGUGCUUGAGUCUGUCAGUAGAAUAUAUAUCUGAAAGUGAUCAUCCACGUCUCAGGAUUCCUACCCUAUCACCAACUAUUUGUCCUUGAGAAGUUUAUUUGUAAGAUCUGAGCAGGUGGGACAACCUCAUAUCCAACUGGUAUCCCCAGGAGUCUACGCAGUGCCAUGCCCUUGGCAGGCACUCAGAGAGAGUGGUUUAAGGGCUAACACUGCAAGCAUUCACACUGUAAUCAGAUGGCCUCUUCUAGGAAACCUUUGCUGAUAUCCUUGGCCCCCUUUCCCCAUGGACCCUUCAUUCAUUCCACAAAUGUUUGUGGAAGGUUGAUUAGGGGGACCCUGUAUCAAAUCAGCCUCUUAGGUAUAUAUAGCCUGGUAGGUGAGUUAAAACAAAUUCUGGAAAGCACUCUAAGGCUGUGCUGUUUGAUGGGAUACAUUAGCUACAUACAGCUACUUAAAUUUAAUUAAAAUAAAAUGUAAAAUUCAGCUCCUUAACCCAGUACCUACAUUUGAAGGGGCUAGAAGUGACAGCACUGAAUGGUGCAGAUACAGAAUAUCCCUAUCAUUGGCUGGGCGCUGUGGGUCACACCUGUAAUCCCAGCAUUUUGGGAUGCUGAGGCAGGUGGAUCACCUGAGGUCAGGAGUUCAAGACCAGCCUGGCCAACAGGAUGAAACCCCCGUCUCUAUUAAAAAUACAAAAAUUGGACAAGCGUGGUGGUGCACACCUGUAAUCCCAGCAACUCGGGAGGCUGAGGCAGGAGAAUUGCUUGAACCCAGGAGGCAGAGUUUGCAAUGAGCUGAUUGCACCACUGCACUCAAGCCUGGGUGACAGAGGGGGAUUCUGUCUCAAAAAAAAAAAAAGAAUAUCUUGAAUAACUCUAUCAUCUUCUGUGGGACAGCCCUGAAGGGAGGCUUAGCAUAGUGGGCAACCCUGUGGGCUCUGGAUUCCUGUAAGCUCUGAGUUCGAAUCCUAUCAUUAUUUCCUAGCUAUAAAAUUUGGCCAAGCAAGUUAACCUGUCUUUGAGCCUCAGCCAUAAAGGUGGGGAAUUACAGCCCCUUAUGGAGAUUUGGCAAGGAUUCAAAGGUACUGCAAAUGUGAGGGGCUUUGCACAAAGUCAUAGUAAUAUUAUAAAAAAUCUGGAGUGAAGCCAGGCGCAGUGGCUCAUGCCUAUAAUCCCAGCAAUUUGGGAGGCCAAGGCGGACAGAUCACCUGUGCUCAGGAGUUCGAGACCAGCUUGGGCAACAUGAUAAAACCCUAUCUCUACUAAAAAUACAAAAAUUAGCUGGGUGUGGUGGCGUGCGCCUGUAGUCCCAGCUACUCAGGAGGCUGAGGCACAAGAACCGCUUGAACCCAGGAGGCAGAGGUUGCAGUGAGCCAAGAUCAUUCACUGCACUCCAGCCUGGGUGACAUCCCGAGACUCCGUCUCCAAACCAAAACGAAACUAAACAACAUGCAGAAUACUAAUAAUACUAAGUUGUGCGGACCAUGUAAGGAAACCAAAAGGGUUAUGUCUGUAUCUACAUGCUUUUUUUUUUUUUUUUUUUUUUGUGAGACAGAGUCUUGCUAUAACACCCAGGCUGGAGUACAAUGGCACAAUCUCGGCUCACUGAAACCUCCGCCUCCCGGGUUCAAGCAAUUCUCCUGCCUCAGCCUCCCAAGUAGCUGGGACUACAGGCGCAUACCACCAUGCCCGGCUGAUUUUUGUGUUUUUAGUAGAGACAGGGUUUCACCAUACUGGCCAGGCAGGUCUCAAACUUCUGACCUCAGGUGAUCCGCCCAUCUCGGCCUCCCAGACUGCUGGGACUACAGGCAUGAGCCACCGUGCCCGACCCAUACAUUCUUUAGUAUGUGCAGAAUUUCCUUUGGAAAGAUCAAAAAGUGAGAAAAAGAACUGGGAAAAGAGAAGAAAGCCUAUUUUUUGGUAAAGUGAUAUUUUUACCACAUAUGUACAUGAACGGUGCCUGAUUUUAAACCUUAUUGACUUAAUCUCAUUUUAGAUGCUGUAGUACCUCUUGAAUUUUGUACCGCACAGAUGUAUUACCUACUCAAAAAUAAUUCCAUUUUAUUCCUUUUUUAAGUCUAUAAGAUUCAAAAUCAGGCAAACCUAAACCAAAACUAAAUUUUUUUUUUUUUUUUGAGACAGGGUCUUGCUCUGUCACCCAGGCUCUGGUGUGCAGUGGUGUGAUCACAGCUCACUGUAGCCUCCACCUCCCGCGCUCAGGCAAUGCUCCCACCUCAGACUCCCGAGUAGCUGGGACUUGUAGGCAUGCAAGACCAGGCCCAGCUAAUUUUGGUACUUUUUGUAGGGACUCUGUUUUGCCAUGUUACUCAGGCUGUUCUCAAACUCCUGAGCUCAAGUGAUCCACCCCUCAGCCUCCCAAAGUGGGGGAUUACAGGCUAAAUAUUCUUUAGAUAUAGAUACAUAAGUCACAAAACAGGAAUAAAAGCAAGGAAUGAUUAACACAAAAUGCUGCAAAAGACCAUUCAGGAAAGGAAUGUGAACAGAGAUACUAGUGACUUUCUGUUUCUUAAUCCACCUGCUGGGCAUCUAAGACUGUUCCUUAAAGUAUAGUUAAAUAUUUUUCAGAUUCUAUUGUAUUUAUGAGAUAUUCCACAAUUUUUUCUUUUUCUUUUUUUUCUUUUUUUUUUUGAGACGGAGUCUCGCUCUGUCGCCCAGGCUGGAGUGCAGUGGCAUGAUCUCGGGUCACUGCAACCUCUGCCUCCCUGGUUCAAGCGAUUCUCCUGCCUCAGCCUCCUGAGUAGCUGGGACUACAGGCAAAUGCCGCCACACCCAGCUAAUUUUUGUAUUUUUUGUAGAGACGGGGUUUUGCCAUGUUGGCCAGGCUGGUCUCGAACUUCUGAGCUCAGGUGAUCUGCCCGCCUCAGCCUCCCAAAGUGCUGGGAUUACAGGCCUGAGGCACUGCGCCCAGCCUUAUUUUCUUGUAUUAUUGUAUCACAGAAAUAUACACACCAGCCAGGUGCUGUGGCUCAUGCCUGUAAUCCCACCACUUUGGAAGGCCAAGGUGGGCAGAUCAUUUGAGGUAAGGAGUUGGAGACCAGCCUGGUCAACAUGAUGAGACCCUGUCUCUACUAAAAAUACAAAAAUUAGCCAGGCAUGGCGACACGCGCCUGUAAUCCCACCUACUCAGGAGGCUGAGGCAGGAAAAUUGCUUAAACCCGGGAGGCAGAGAUUGCAGUGAGCCAAAAUCAUGCCACUGCACUCCAGCAUGGGUGACUAAGCAAGUCUCCAUCUCAAAAAAAAAAAAGAAAGAAAGAAAGAAAUAUACACACCAUCUCUCAUCUUGCCUUUCACUGACUAUAAUCUUGGACCCCUUUCCACGUGCUAUCUGUAGAACUGCCAUUCUAAAGUAUUAUUUAGGCUGGGCGCGGUGGCUCACGCCUGUAAUCCCAACACUGGGAGGCUGAGGCAGGCGGAUCACCUGAGGUCAAGAGUUGGAGACCAGCCUGGCCAACAUGGUGAAACCCCGUCUCUACUAAAAAUACCAAAAAUUUGUUGGGCGUGGCGGCAUGUGCCUGUAAUCCCAGCUACUCGGGAGGUUAAGACAGGAGAAUCGCUGGAACCCGGGAGUCAGAGGUUGCAGUGAUCCGAGAUCGCACCAUUGCACCCCAGGGGCCUAGACAACAAGAGCGAAACUUCGUCUCAAAAAAAAAAAAAAAGAAAAGAAAAAGAAAAAAAGUAUUAUUUAAGUGUUACAUAAAUCUGAGUGUUGUGAUAGAAAAUUCGAUUGGUUUUAAAAAGUCACAGAGUAAAGUGUAUAUUAUGACCCAUUUAUGUCAAAACAAGCUAUUUAUAGUAAUAUUUGUAUAUAUAUAUGUGUGCCCCCCCACCAAAAAAAAAAAAAGAUAAGAAAGGCUUGGAGACUGGGCACGGUGGCUCACUCCUGUAAUCCUAGCACUUUGGGAGGCUGAGGCAGAUGGAUCACCUGAGGUCAGGAGUUCGAGACCAGUCUGGCCAACAUGGCGAAACCCUGUCUCUACUAAAGAUACAAAAAUUAGCUGGGCGUGGUGGCGCUCGCCUGUAAUCCCAGCUACUUGAGAGGCUGAGGAAGGAGAAUCGCUUGAACCUGGGAGGUAGAAGUUGCAAUGAGCCGAGAUCAUGCCACUGCACUUCAGCCUGCCCAACGGGAGCAAGACUCCAUCUCAAAAAAAAAAAAAAGAAAGGCUUGGAAUUGCGCGGCAAACCACUACCUUUGAUUCCCUCACAGGAGGGGAGAAAAUUUUAACGGGGUUAUAUUUAUAUAUUAUUUGCGUCUUUAACAACAAUUUUGACCUUUUACAUUUGUCAAAUAUUUCAAACAUAAUGAAAGUUAUAAAAUAAAUAAAGAGGGCCUAGUGCAGUGGCUCACGCGUAUAAUCCUAACAUUUUGGGAGGCUCAGGCAGGCAGAUCACCUGAGGUCAGGGGUUCGAGACCAGCCUGGGCACCAUGGCAAAGCCCCGUCUCUACUAAAAAUACACAAAUUGGCCAGCUGGGAUUACAGGUGCCCACCACCAUGCCUGGCUCAUUUUUGUGUUUUUAGUAGAGGCAGGGUUUCACCAUGUUGGCCAGGCUGCUCUCGAACUCCAGACCUCAGGUGGAUGCACCCGCCUCGGCCUCCCAAAGUGCUGGGACUACAGGCGUGUGCCACCGCGCCCAGCGAAUUCUUCAUUUUAUAAUCUGUCUCUUCCACUGUGAGGGUUGAAAGGAACACUGAAUAUAACAGGUGAGUUAAUUAAGGGGUUAAUGCCAGGAAGAGUCACGAAAGUUCAAAGAUUCUUUAAAAAACUUGUCUUUUUAGGGCGGGCGCGGUGGCUCACGCCUGUAAUCCCAUCACUUUGGGAGGCCGAGGCGUGUGGAUCACCUGAGGUCAGAAGUUUGAGACCAGCCUGGCCAACAUGGUGAAACCCCCCCUCUACUAAAAAUACAAAAAUUAACCGGGCGUGGUGGCGCGUGCCUGUAAUCACAGCUACUAGCGGGGCUGAGGCAGGAAGAUCGCUUGUACCCGAGAGGCGGAGGUUGUGGUGAGCCGAGAUCGCGCCACUGCACUCCAGCCUGGGCAACAGAGCGAGACUCUGUCUCAAAAAAACAAAAAAGAAAAAAAAGAAAAAAAAAAAAAAAAAUUGCCUCUUUGGAUUGAUGGACAAGUACUUUAACCAAUGGAAAUAAAAAUCUAAGCAUUACUUCAUCAUACUCAAUUGUGAUUGGUUGACGAUCCCCGAGGGAGGGCUCAGAGGGCUGGCAAUUAACCCUUUCAGGGAAAAUCAGGCCUUUUGCAUUUAUUUUAUUUUAAAGUUGAAGUAGUAACAGAUGAAAAGCCUACAAAAGUCCCCGGACUUUCAAAUACCACAUUUCAGUCUUAGCCCAGAAAGCAGGAUUUCGCCCCACAAAGGAAUAGUCAAGGACAAAUUUCCUGGAGAAAAGUUUUGAACUUUUAGAACGGGGAAUCCGCUGACCUCGCUGAGUAAGUGAGAAGGUUGAUUCACUUUUUGUGCUGUUGGAACAGGGACCAGUGUUGGAGAUGAUUCCAUUAAUCUUGCGAAGUGAUCAGUCACUGGGAGGAUUGAAUUGCAUUUCCUGCCUAAAGAUAGAGACAGAUGACCUUUGCUGCAGCCCUCAGACCCCCAGUUCACAGCUGGGGAGAGGAUGUGUCAGCGUUUACUUUCAGGUCUCACCCUGCCCUUUGUUCAAAAUUCAGACUCUUUUGUGUUUAGGCUGCUGCUGGGGUUUUUGUAGUUGUUGAUGCUGCUUUUUUUUUUUUUUUUUUUUUUUUUUUUAUAUAACCGCCCACAUCCUGCAACUUCUGAGAAACAAACUCUCUAUUUGGUAGAAGAUAAAAUCUGGAGGUGCCUCGGAGAGGGAACCAGAAUAGACAGGGAAUUCCGACAGGCCAUUGGGCCUUUAGGCUUUAAUUACUGCCCUCACCCCUUCCUGGACUCCCUAAAUGCUGCAGGCUGAACUGGAUGGAGCCAAAAGUCCAGCAAAAUGAAUAACAAUGCUUCGUGUUUAUAUGGCUCUACUACAAGAAAGCUUUUACACACAUUACCUCAUGGAAGAGGCACUGCUAAAGCAGAAGUAUUUACAUAAAUGAACAUUCGCAGUUCCUAAAUGUAGUCAGCUGCAUGACCUAGGACAAAGUGUCCAAACUUAAGUCUCAGUUUUCUCAUCUGUAAAAUGGGGUCACAUGAAAGUUACCAGAGGAGGCCGGGCGCAGUGGCUCACGCCUGUAAUCCCAGCACUUUGGGAGGCUGAGGUGGGCGGAUCACAAGGUCAGGAGAUGGAGACCAUCCUGGCGAACACGGUGAAACCCCAUCUCUACAAAAAAUUAGCAGGGCGUGGUGGCUGGCACCUGUAGUCCCAGCUACUCAGGAGGCUGAGGCAGGAGAAUGGCGUGAACCCAGGAGGCGGAGCUUGCAGUGAGCCGAGAUCUCGCCACUGCACUCCAGCCUGGGUGACAGAGCGAGACUCCAUCUCAAAAAAAAAAAAGUUACCAGAGGGUCAAGGCGCGAUGGCUCACACCUGUAAUCCCAGCACUUUGGGAGGCCGAGGCAGGCAGAUCCCCUGAAGUCAGGAGUUUGAGACCAACUUGGCCAACAUGGGGAAGCCCCAUCUCUACUAAAAACAUAAAACUUAGCUGGGCAUGGUGGCUCAUGCCUGCAAUCUCAGCUACUUGGGAGGCUGAGGCAAGAGAAAUGCUUGAACCUGGGAGGCGGAGGUUGCAGAGCCUAGAUCGUGCUACUGCACUCCAGCCUGGGUGACAGCAAGACUACGUCUCAAAAAAAGAAAGAAAGAAAGAAAGAAAGAAAAAGAAAAAUAGGCCGGGCGAGGUGUCUCAUGUCUGUAAUUCCAGCACUUUGGGAGGCCAAGGCAGGCAGAUCACCUGAGGUCGGGAGUUCGAGACAAGCCUGACUAACAUGGAGAAACCCCGUCUCUACUGAAAAUACAAAAUUAGCCAGGCAUGGUGGCGCAUGCCUGCAAUCCCAGCUACUUGGGAGGCUGAGGCAGGAGAAUCGCUUGAACCCGAGAGGUGAAGGUUGCGGUGAGCCAAAAUCACACCAUUACACUCCAGCCUGAGCAACAAGAGCAAAACUCCAUCUCAAAAAAUAAUAAUAAUAAAAUAGUUACCCGACAAUUGAAUGAGCCAAUGUUCUAUAACAGGACUCAAUAAAUGGUGUGUCUUAAUUAAAAUGAGGUUGACCUCCUGGGCUCCAGAACGAUGACAGCUAGCUGUGGAUUGGGCAAAUUUAGCUUUUCCCCAAGGGGAACGCCUUGGGGAAGCCUGCCUGGAAUGUAUGGAUUGAGUCCCCUUGCUUGUACAUCCUGUCCCUCACCAGACUCCAAAGUCUGACCGUGCUGAACUAUUUUGAGUUCUUUGACUAAACCUGCUCUUUCCUCCUCUAGACCUUUGCAUAUGCCAGUCUAUUCCCGCAGCCCUUCUUCCCUCCUGUUUCUCCUGGAAUCUGCUUUGCUCUCUCUCUUUCCUGCCCCCUCCCAGUAAUUACCACAUCAUCUUACUGUUGCCUGUGCCUUCACCAGACUGUAAGCCCUGGAGGGCAGUACCUGGUCUGUCUCAUUCAUGGAUAUAGCUCUAGCAAAGUGCCUGCAUGUUCUCUAAAAAUACUUGUGGUUUUUUUUUUAUUAUUUUAUUUUUUUGAGACGGAGUCUCACUCUGUCG